AUUGAACGCUGGCGGCAGGCCUAACACAUGCAAGUCGAGCGGAACGGCUGACGGGUGAGUGAUAACUAGGAAUGUGCCUUGUCGUGGGGGAUAACGUUCGGAAACGGACGCUAAUACAGCAUACUAUCAGAUGAGCCUUGGUCGGAUUAGCUAGGUGGUGAGGUAAUGGCUCACCACGGCUACGAUCCGUAACUGGUCUGAGAGGAUGAGCAGUCACACUGGAACUGAGACACGGUCCAGAAUCCUACGGGAGGCAGGAGUGGGGAAUAUGGGACAAUGGGCGAAAGCCUGAUCCAGCCAUGCCGCGUGGGUGAAGAAGGUCUUCGGAUUGUAAAGCACUUUAAGUUGGGAGGCGUUACCGACAGAAUAAGCACCGGCUAACUACGUGCCAGCAGCCGCGGUAAUAC
rnacentral:rRNA from 1 species